AUUGAACGCUGGCGGAAUGCUUUACACAUGCAAGUCGAACGGCAGCACGGACUUCGGUCUGGUGGCGAGUGGCGAACGGGUGAGUAAUACAUCGGAACGUGCCCAGUCGUGGGGGAUAACGUAGCGAAAGCUACGCUAAUACCGCAUACGAUCUACGGAUGAAAGCGGGGGAUCGCAAGACCUCGCGCGAUUGGAGCGGCCGAUGGCAGAUUAGGUUGUUGGUGAGGUAAAGGCUCACCAAGCCGACGAUCUGUAGCUGGUCUGAGAGGACGACCAGCCACACUGGGACUGAGACACGGCCCAGACUCCUACGGGAGGCAGCAGUGAGGAAUUUUUCGCAAUGGGCGCAAGCCUGACGAAGCAAUGCCGCGUGCAGGAGAAGGCCUGUGGGUCGUAAACUGCUUUUCUCAGGGAAGAAGUUCUGACGGUACCUGAGGAAUAAGCAACCC
rnacentral:rRNA from 1 species